rnacentral:rRNA from 1 species
UACGUAGGGGGCAAGCGUUGUUCGGAAUUACUGGGCGUAAAGGGCGCGUAGGCGGCACGGCAAGUCAGGAGUGAAAGGCCUGGGCUCAACCGAGGAACUGCUUUUGAGACUGCCGAGCUAGAGUGCAGAAGGGGCAACUGGAAUUCCCAGUGUAGCGGUGAAAUGCGUAGAUAUUGGGAAGAACACCUGAGGCGAAAGCGGCUCACUGGACCCAAUCUGACACUGAGGUGCGAAAGCUAGGGUAGCAAACGGG